rnacentral:rRNA from 1 species
GAUCAUGGCUCAGAUUGAACGCUGGCGGCGUGCUUAACACAUGCAAGUCGAACGCGAAAGUGGCUUCGGCCACGAGUAGAGUGGCGCACGGGUGAGUAACGCGUAUCCAACCUGCCCCAUCACUUGGGAAUAACCUUGCGGAAGUAAGACUAAUGCCCAAUGAUAUCCCACGAAGGCAUCCGAAUGGGAUUAAAGAUUUAUCGGUGAUGGAUGGGGAUGCGUCUGAUUAG